GGCGGGGUAGCCAAGUGGUAAGGCACGGCUCUGCAAAAGCCGAAUGCGUGGGUUCGAUUCCCGCCCUCGCCU
rnacentral:tRNA from 1 species